CGAGUAGGGCGGGACACGUGAUAUCCUGUCUGAAUAUGGGGGGACCAUCCUCCAAGGCUAAAUACUCCUGACUGACCGAUAGUGAACCAGUACCGUGAGGGAAAGGCGAAAAGAACCCCUGUGAGGGGAGUGAAAUAGAACCUGAAACCGUGUACGUACAAGCAGUAGGAGCACCUUCGUGGUGUGACUGCGUACCUUUUGUAUAAUGGGUCAGCGACUUAUAUUCAGUGGCAAGGUUAACCGUAUAGGGGAGCCGUAGCGAAAGCGAGUCUUAACUGGGCGCUCAGUCUCUGGAUAUAGACCCGAAACCGGGUGAUCUAGCCAUGGGCAGGUUGAAGGUUGAGUAACAUCAACUGGAGGACCGAACCGACUAAUGUUGAAAAAUUAGCGGAUGACUUGUGGCUAGGGGUGAAAGGCCAAUCAAACUCGGAGAUAGCUGGUUCUCCCCGAAAGCUAUUUAGGUAGCGCCUCGGACGAAUACUACUGGGGGUAGAGCACUGUUAAGGCUAGGGGGUCAUCCCGACUUACCAACCCUUUGCAAA
rnacentral:rRNA from 1 species